CAGUAGCGUAUAUUAAAGUUGUUGCAGUUAAAAUGCUCGUAGUUGAAGUUCGGAUGCAGCAGAGCCUGGAAACGCUGUUAUGGUGCUUCCGUUGCUUUUGCUUGUCCACAGUGCGUUGCAAGUACGUAUGUGCUUGUGCGUGCAUUUUACUUUGAGAAACAUAGGGUGUUCCACGCAUGUUACGGCAUGAAUAUUCCAGCAUGGGAUAAUCUGGUACGACUUCCAAUCUGCCAUUUUGGUUCGUAGGUUGGAAGUAAUGAUUAAUAGGGACUGUCGGGGGCAUUGGUAUUUGACUGUCAGAGGUGAAAUUCUUAGAUUCGUUGAGGACCAACCACUGCGAAAGCAUUUGUCAAGGAUGUCUCCAUUAA
rnacentral:rRNA from 1 species